AAUACAUGCAAGUCGAGCGGACAGAAGGGAGCUUGCUCCCGGACGUUAGCGGCGGACGGGUGAGUAACACGUAGGUAACCUGCCCCUUAGACUGGGAUAACUCCGGGAAACCGGAGCUAAUACGGGAUAGUAAAGAGAAUCACCUGAUUCUCUUUUGAAAGACGGUUUCGGCUGUCACUAAGGGAUGGGCCUGCGGCGCAUUAGCUAGUUGGUAAGGUAACGGCUUACCAAGGCGACGAUGCGUAGCCGACCUGAGAGGGUGAUCGGCCACACUGGGACUGAGACACGGCCCAGACUCCUACGGGAGGCAGCAGUAGGGAAUCUUCCGCAAUGGACGAAAGUCUGACGGAGCAACGCCGCGUGAGUGAGGAAGGCCUUCGGGUCGUAAAGCUCUGUUGUGAGGGAAGAACAAGUACCGGGGUAACUACCGGUACCUUGACGGUACCUCACCAGAAAGCCACGGCUAACUACGUGCCAGCAGCCGCGGUAAUACGUAGGUGGCAAGCGUCGUCCGGAAUUAUUGGGCGUAAAGCGCGCGCAGGCGGCUUCUUAAGUCUGAUGUGAAAUCUCGGGGCUCAACCCCGAGCGGCCAUUGGAAACUGGGAAGCUUGAGUGCAGAAGAGGAGAGUGGAAUUCCACGUGUAGCGGUGAAAUGCGUAGAUAUGUGGAGGAACACCAGUGGCGAAGGCGACUCUCUGGUCUGUAACUGACGCUGAGGCGCGAAA
rnacentral:rRNA from 1 species